AAUGGAAGAAGCCAAAGGAGAGGGAGAGACUGGAGCUACUGGAGAAAUGAGAAGAGUUGAUGGAACAAGAUUCCUGAGAGAGAAGCGAGAGAGGCGACUUUUUGGCAAAUACUGCAUCUUCAGGCAGGAGAAGUUGGCUGAGUACAAAAGGGCUUUUGAAGCUUGGCUUAUUAGAUGCAUCCCUGAGGAUUG